rnacentral:rRNA from 1 species
CGCGUAGGCGGUUUUGUAAGUCGGAUGUGAAAGCCCCGGGCUUAACCUGGGAAUUGCAUUCGAUACUGCAUAACUAGAGUACGGUAGAGGGAAGUGGAAUUCCGGGUGUAGCGGUGAAAUGCGUAGAUAUCCGGAGGAACACCAGUGGCGAAGGCGACUUCCUGGGCCAGUACUGACGCUGAGGUGCGAAAGCGUGGGGAGCAAACA